rnacentral:lncRNA from 1 species
GUUCAAUCCUCAUCACCACAUAAAAAUAAAGGUCCAUGAAUAACUAAAUAUAUAUAUAUAAUUAUAAAACUGAAGCAGACAUAGGGCCCAGUCUUGAAGAACUUACUAUACUAGCAAGGAAAUGUAUCUACAAAGACAGAGAAGGCAUAGCCAGUGAGUAGGAGAAAAACGAGAAUGGUCUAGCCUACUUAAUCUAAAGAAAUAUUUCAAAUAAUGAAGUGUAGUCAGUGGUAGAAAGCUUACCUAGCACCUAUGAGGUCCUGAGAUUAAUCCCCAGCACUGGAAAAAAAAAGUAUUGGCCAGCAGGACUGGAUGCUAGUGAAAGUUCAAAUCUGAUGCCUGAAAAGGGCAACAGGAUUCACUGACUUAUAAAUCAUUAAUGGCCUGGAAUUAUGGGUAAUGGAAGCCAUUGUAUUAAGAAUGAAAAAGCAUAUAACUUUACAGAAGUCUGGCCAUGAAAUCAAAUGGAGAUAAAUAAGUAAAUAUUGAUGAAGGAUCAUUAAGUAUGAGAAAUACUAAAUUAUGUUUAAAAUCCAAAGAAAAGCUCUAAGAGGAUGAAUACAGAAGAGAAGUGAUACCCAAUAGUGUAGGUUUCUUGAAAAGGCAGGUGAAAAUGGAAGCCAGAGUAGAGGUCAGAGAAAAGGAGAAAAGGCCCUCCUGAACCAUCAGUCAUGAGUUGGCACUGCUAGCCUCCUUAACAGCUGGGUAAACUCAAAGCAGUUUUCCUAUCAGCACCUCCCUCUUUUCUGUUUGCCUUGCCAGUCCAGCUCUGGAUAAACCACACUUCCCACCCCACCCCUUUAAAUUUCUUCUUUAUUUAUUUAGCAAAUAUUUACUAAUGACUGACUAUGUGCCAGGACCUGGGGGUCAAGGACUCAAACAAAUCCUUGUCCUUAAGGAACUCAUGGUCCAGUGGUAGUGAGAGACAAACAAUCAAAGUACAGUGCACAAUGUGAAAAGGACUGUAGUAGGACAAGAAGGUGUGGGAGUGUUGCUAGAGAAAAUCCCUAAACCAGAUCAACUGGUGAAACCACAGGAAGGACCUGGAUGGUGAUGGCACACCUGUAAUUCCAGCUACUUUGCAGGCUGAGGAUCCCAAAUUUGAGGUCAGCCUCAGCAGCUCAGCAAGACCUUGACUUAGCUGGGCGUUGUGUUACAUGCCCGUAAACCCAGCACCUCAGGAGUCUGAGGCAGGAGGAUAUGAAAUUCAAAGCCAGCCUCAGCAACUUAGUGAGGCCCUAAGCAACUUAGCAAGGCCCUGUCUCAAAAUUAAAAUAAAUAAAUAAAUAUAUAAGGGCUGGGGAUGUGGUUCAGUGGUUAAGCACCCCUGGGUUCAAUUCCCAGUACUGCAAACAAACCAACCACAGGAGGGCUCUUCCUUUUUUUUUUAAUUUUCUUUUUUUUAAUAUUUAUUUUUUAGUUGGACACCCAGGGCCUCGCACAUGCUAGGCGAGCGCUCUACCGCUGAGCCAAAACCCCAGCCCAAGGGCUCUCCCUUUUGCUAAGCAAAUUUUUAAUACAUCUUGACAUCCUUUUUCACAGUGCCAUUUUUCUUUCCUUUUUUUUCCCAUUCUCUAGUUUGCUUCCUUGCUCUCCCUUCUUGUACUGGGGGAGCAGAGUAGGGACCACUUCCUUAUUAUAAUUUCAUAUUUUUUUCUUAUUUUCUGGGUGAAGGUCUCCAUAUGUUAUAUCAUUUGGUCUCAAACUCCUGAACUCAGCUAAUUCUCCUGCCUUAGCCUCCCUAGUUGCUGAGACUGCAGAAAUGCAUCACCAUGCCCAAAGUAUAAUUUCAUAUACUUACUAAAACUUAUAGGGGUCAGGAGUUGAGCUUGAAAGGGUAGCCUGCUUGCCUAAGACCCUGGGUUCCAGCCCCAGCUGAAAAAAAGGGGACUGGAAAUAUAGCUCAGUAGUAACAUUAAUUUAAAAAAUAAACUUAUAAAUAAUAGAAAAAUUAGUUCAUUCCACUUUUUCUCUAUUUUUAUUCAGACUGGGUUUGAUUUCUUUGUUUUUUUGUUUGUUUGUUUUUGCCAUGCUGGAGAUAGAACCCAGGGCCCUUUGCAUAUAUAGGCAAGUGCUUUACCACUAGGUUACAUCAUUGACCCCUGAUUUCUUUGGAAAUAAAGACAGUAUGAAGCGGGGCAUGGUGGCACAUGUCUAUAUACCUAGCAAUAGUGACUUGGUAGGCUAAGGCAGAAGUGAUCAAGGCCAACCUUAGCAACAUAGCAAGACCCUGUCUCAAAAUAAAAAGGGCUUGGGAUGCAGCUCCGUGGUAGAGCGCCCUGGGUUCAACCUCUAGUAAUGUCUCCUCCACAGCCUAAAAAAAAAGGGAUGCAGAUAACUCAGAAACUGGAUAUCAGCCUUUAUUGAGUCCCUCCAACUGUUGUGUUCCUCGCUGUGAUAGAGGAAUGAUUCUGAGGGAAGGCAGGAAAAAUUCUAGGACUGAGGACAUGGAGGGCAGGGACCUCCAUGGCAGUGAAAAAGGAUGGCUUGGGCAUUUCUGAGGCUCCCCUUCCAGAUCAGGAACUUACCCCCUUCCCCAGAAAGCAUAUACAAAGUGGUCCUAAGAUCAUAAUUUAGCUCUGAUGAUAAAAUUAAGCUCUAACAUUCUAUGGUAUCCACAGAUAUUAUCUUUAAACUACUGCAGCUUUCUGUUGGUAUAUAGAACUCUGUAUAUAUAUAUUCUGUGUGUGUGUGUGUGUGUGUGUG